rnacentral:rRNA from 1 species
AACAGGAUUAGAUACCCUGGUAGUCCACGCCCUAAACGAUGUCGACUAGGUGUUCGGUGAGGAGACUCAUUGAGUACCGCAGCUAACGCGUGAAGUCGACCGCCUGGGGAGUACGGUCGCAAGAUUAAAACUCAAAGGAAUUGACGGGGACCCGCACAAGCGGUGGAUGAUGUGGAUUAAUUCGAUGCAACGCGAAAAACCUUACCUACCCUUGACAUGUACGGAACCCUGCUGAGAGGUGGGGGUGCUCGAAAGAGAGCCGUAACACAGGUGCUGCAUGGCUGUCGUCAGCUCGUGUCGUGAGAUGUUGGGUUAAGUCCCGCAACGAGCGCAACCCUUGUCAUUAGUUGCUACGCAAGAGCACUCUAAUGAGACUGCCGGCGACAAACCGGAGGAAGGUGGGGAUGACGUCAAGUCCUCAUGGCCCUUAUGGGUAGGGCUUCACACGUCAUACAAUGGUCGGUACAGAGGGUUGCCAAGCCGCGAGGUGGAGCCAAUCCCAGAAAGCCGAUCGUAGUCCGGAUCGCAGUCUGCAACUCGACUGCGUGAAGUCGGAAUCGCUAGUAAUCGCGGAUCAGCAUGCCGCGGUGAAUACGCUCCCGGGUCUUGUACACACCGCCCGUCACACCAUGGGAGUGGGUUUCACCAGAAGAGGCUAGCCUAACCGUAAGGGGGGCGGUCGCCACGGUGAGAUUCAUGACUGGGGUGAAGUCGUAACAAGGUAACC